rnacentral:rRNA from 1 species
ACAGAUUCUUCGGAUGAAAUCCUUAGUGACUGAGUGGCGGACGGGUGAGUAACGCGUGGGUAACCUGCCUCAUACAGGGGGAUAACAGUUAGAAAUGACUGCUAAUACCGCAUAAGCGCACAGGACCGCAUGGUCCUGUGUGAAAAACUCCGGUGGUGUGAGAUGGACCCGCGUUUGAUUAGCUGGUUGGUGGGGUAACGGCCUACCAAGGCGACGAUCAAUAGCCGACCUGAGAGGGUGACCGGCCACAUUGGGACUGAGAUACGGCCCAGACUCC